AACAUGCUUGCUUUCCCUUCGCUUUCAGCCAUGAUUAUAAGUUUCCUGAAGCUUCCCAGCCAUGCUUCCUGUACAGCCUGAGGAACUGCAUUCACUGACAUCACUGGAGACUGCUCAGCCACAACGGUUAAGCUCCAUCUCUGCAGUCCCAGUUCUUCCACUAGGUGACAGAAUAUCAACAGUCAUCAUCCAUGGACGGCAUGUCUCUUAGAUUGAAUACAAAGGACUCUAAAGCCCAAGAGGAGUGUGGAGCCACAAUAUGGAAGCAAUCUGGGUAGUGAAUACUCAUGUUGAAGGUUGACCACCAACCAGAAAUACUUGUGUGUGUUGUACAGUUACAUGACUGAGGAAUGCACUUUCAUUGUGUGAAGCUGUUAAACUUUGGGGUUCGUUUGUUGCUGCAGUUAGCAUUGCCCUAACUGAUACACCUCCAUUGUGCGUGGUCUCAGUAGGAGGGCCAUAGCCAUCUCGGCCACCUGCUCAUGCUCUCAUUACAGAAGCUGAAGGGGUCCAGCCUGGUUCAGCUGCUCCCUGGUUCAGCCUACAUUUAAAUAGGCAAUUAGACACUUGCUCCUGGGAUACUGAGUCUCAAAUAAGGGACACAAAGAUGCAGGGAAAGUUAAGAAUCAGACAUAUAACAGUGGUAACAGAAACUUGAG